rnacentral:rRNA from 1 species
GACGAACGCUGGCGGCGUGCUUAACACAUGCAAGUCGAACGGAAAAGCCCUGCUUUUGUGGGGUGCUCGAGUGGCGAACGGGUGAGUAACACGUUAGUAACCUGCCCUUGACUUUUGGAUAACUUCAGGAAACUGGGGCUAAUACCGGAUAGGGGCUCCUGCUGCAUGGUGGGGGUUGGAAAGUUUCGGCGGUUGGGGAUGGACUCGCGGCUUAUCAGCUUGUUGGUGGGGUAGUGGCUUACCAAGGCUUUGACGGGUAGCCGGCCUGAGAGGGUGACCGGCCACAUUGGGACUGAGAUACGGCCCAGACUCCUACGGGAGGCAGCAGUGGGGAAUAUUGCACAAUGGGCGGAAGCCUGAUGCAGCAACGCCGCGUGCGGGAUGACGGCCUUCGGGUUGUAAACCGCUUUCGCCUGUGACGAAGCGUGAGUGACGGUAAUGGGUAAAGAAGCACCGGCUAACUACGUG